GGCAACUUGGCUGAGUGGUUAUAGCGACAGACUAGAACAUCUCUCUUCGGAGAACCAUAUUCUGGGUUAUCUGUUUCCUUCGGGAGCGUAGGUUCAAAUCCUGCAGUUGUCG